GAACCUUACCAGGUCCUUGACAUCCUCUGACAACCCUAGAGAUAGGGCUUUCCCUUCGGGGACAGAGUGACAGGUGGUGCAUGGUUGUUGUCAGCUCGUGUCGUGAGAUGUUGGGUUAAGUCCCGCAACGAGCGCAACCCUUGAUCUUAGUUGCCAGCAUUCAGUUGGGCACUCUAAGGUGACUGCCGGUGACAAACCGGAGGAAGGUGGGGAUGACGUCAAAUCAUCAUGCCCCUUAUGACCUGGGCUACACACGUGCUACAAUGGACAGAACAAAGGGCUGCGAGACCGCAAGGUUUAGCCAAUCCCACAAAUCUGUUCUCAGUUAGGAUCGCAGUCUGCAACUCGACUGCGUGAAGCUGAAUCGCUAGUAAU
rnacentral:rRNA from 1 species